UACGUAGGGGGCAAGCGUUGUCCGGAUUUAUUGGGCGUAAAGAGCGUGUAGGCGGCCAUGUAGGUCCGUUGUGAAAACUCGAGGCUCAACCUCGAGACGCCGAUGGAAACCAUGUGGCUAGAGUCCGGAAGAGGAGAGUGGAAUUCCUGGUGUAGUGGUGAAAUGCGCAGAUAUCAGGAAGAACACCCGUGGCUAAGGCGGCUCUCUAGUACGGUACUGACGCUGAGACGCGAAAGCGUGGGGAGCGAACAGG
rnacentral:rRNA from 1 species